ACUACGGGUGGCAGCAGUGAGGAAUCUUGGUCAAUGGCCGGAAGGCUGAACCAGCCAUGCCGCGUGAAGGUCAGUGCCCUAUGGGCGUUAAACUUCUUUUGUGCGGGAGCAAUAAUGGUCACGUGUGGCCAGACGAGAGUACCGUACGAAUAAGCAUCGCCUAACUCCGUGCAAGCAGCCGCGGUAAUGCGGGGGAUGCAAGCGUUAUCCGGAUUUAUUGGGUUUAAAGUGUGGGUAGGCUGGGAGGGAAGUCAGCGGUGAAAUGCCCCGGCUAAACGGGGUGAAGUGCAAUUAGUACUGCCUGGCUGGAAUGCGGAUGCGGUAGGAGGAAUGUGUGGUGUAGCGGUGAAAUGCAUAGAUAUCACACAGAACACCGAUUGCGAAGGCAUCUUACGAAUCCGCGAUUGACGCUGAUGCACGAAAGCGUGGGUAUCAAACAGGAUUAGAUACCCUGGUAGUC
rnacentral:rRNA from 1 species